CCUACGGGGAGCAGCAGUGGGGAAUAUUGGGCAAUGGGCGCAAGCCUGACCCAGCAACGCCGCGGGAAGGAAGAAGGCUUUCGGGUUGUAAACUUCUGUUAAGAGGGAAGAGCAGAAGACGGUACCUCUGGAAUAAGCCAGGGCUAACGACGGGCCAGCAGCCGCGGUAAUACGGAGGUGGCAAGCGUUGUCCGGAUUUACGGGGUGUAAAGGGCGUGCAGCCGGGAAGACCAGUCAGAGGUGAAAUCCCGCGGCUCAACCGCGGAACUGCAUUUGAAACUGUUUUUCUUGAGUACCGGAGCGGUCAUCGGCCUUCCUUGUGUAGCGGUGCAAUGCGUCGAUAUUAGGAAGAACACCAGUGGCGAAGGCGGCUGACUGGACGGCAACUGCCGGUGAGGCGCGAACGCGUGGGGAGCAAACAGGAUUAGAUACCCGGGUCGUC
rnacentral:rRNA from 1 species